GGAAGGGAAGCGUCCCCGGUGGGGCGGCCGGACUUCAACUCCGGUCGGGGCAGUCAGCCUGUCCCGGGUGGGUUCGACUCCCAUUCCCUUUCGC
rnacentral:tRNA from 1 species